CCGCCGGCGACCGGCGCACGGGUGAGUAACACGUAUGCAACCUGGCCGUGACAGAUGGAUAACCGGGAGAAAUCCCGCCUAAUACAACAUAAUGCCGGGAGGGGACAUCCCCUGCCGGGCCAAAGGGGGGCGACCCCGGUCACGGAUGGGCAUGCGGCGCAUUAGGUAGUUGGUGGGGCAACGGCCCACCAAGCCGACGAUGCGUAGGGGUUCUGAGAGGAAGGUCCCCCACAUUGGAACUGAGACACGGUCCAAACUCCUACGGAAGGCAGCAG
rnacentral:rRNA from 1 species